rnacentral:tRNA from 1 species
UCUCUGGUGGUCCAGUGGUUAAGACUCCACACUUCCAAUGCAGGGGUCAUGGGUUCAAUUCCUGCUCAGGGAA